UCAGAAAAAGCCAAACCACUCGUGAGGGUGGGACGGAAAGCUGCGGAUCUUAUUCACACUAAUAAUAAGAUAGCCGGGUUGCCUGAA
rnacentral:ncRNA from 1 species